CCUACGGGAGGCAGCAGUGAGGAAUAUUGGUCAAUGGACGAGAGUCUGAACCAGCCAAGUAGCGUGAAGGAUGACUGCCCUCUGGGUUGUAAACUUCUUUUAUAUGGGAAUAAAAUGUUCCACGUGUGGGAUUUUGUAUGUACCCUAUGAAUAAGGAUCGGCUAACUCCGUGCCAGCAGCCGCGGUAAUACGGAGGGUCCGAGCGUUAUCCGGAUUUAUUGGGUUUAAAGGGUGCGUAGGUGGAUUGGUAAGUCAGGUGUGAAAGUUUGGGGCUCAACCGUAAAAUUGCAGUUGAAACUGGCAGGCUGGAGUACAGGAGAGGUGGGCGGAAUUCGUGGUGUAGCGGUGAAAUGCGUAGAUAUCACGAAGAACUCCGAUUGCGAAGGCAGCUCACUGGACUGCAACUGACACUGAGGCUCGAAAGUGUGGGUAUCAAACAGGAUUAGAUACCCCUGUAGUC
rnacentral:rRNA from 1 species